UGUCUCCUGGGAUGUUUGCCAGUUCAGUUAUGUCCCUGGCCGAUGCUUUUUACCUAGGAAGUUGACUCCACUACUAUUGUGCAAGCUUGGCUCGUAUCAAGACGCCUAAGGUAGCGAUGAUACUUCCGCCCUGAACUUUCGGUUCACGGGCUUAUACUAGACAGCGGCAUUUUGGGAGGCAC
rfam:Paraglaciecola psychrophila 170 chromosome, complete genome.